UAAUAAGUGUUUUUAUGGCACUUUUUAAAUCCAUAUCCACCUUGUGUGCAAUGUCAGUCGAUCUUCUUCAUGGAGAUCGACCAAACAUCAACCUUUAUCUUUUAACUCUUUGUCUGAAAAAUAUUAUGAAUAAACUAAUUCAAAAUA
rnacentral:misc_RNA from 1 species